GAUCAUGGCUCAGGAUGAACGCUAGCGGCAGGCCUAACACAUGCAAGUCGAGGGAGAGGUUACCUUCGGGUAACUGAAACCGGCGCACGGGUGCGUAACGCGUAUACAAUCUGCCUUUCACAUAGGGAUAGCCCGAAGAAAUUUGGAUUAAUACCUAAUGGUAUAUAAGAGCGGCAUCGUUUUUAUAUUAAAGCUACGGUGGUGAAAGAUGAGUAUGCGUUCUAUUAGCUAGUUGGAGAGGUAACGG
rnacentral:rRNA from 1 species